UACGUAGGGGGCAAGCGUUGUCCGGAUUCAUUGGGCGUAAAGAGCGUGUAGGCGGCCAGGUAGGUCGGUUGUGAAAACUGGAGGCUCAACCUUCAGAGGUCGACCGAAACCAUCUGGCUAGAGUCCGGGAGAGGAGAGUGGAAUUCCUGGUGUAGCGGUGAAAUGCGCAGAUAUCGGGAAGAACACCCGUGGCGAAAGCGGUUCUCUGGAACGGUACUGACGCUGAGACGCGAAAGCGUGGGGAGCGAACAGG
rnacentral:rRNA from 1 species